rnacentral:rRNA from 1 species
CCUACCUUUAGGCUGGGGAUAGCCGUUAGAAAUAKCGGGUAAUACCGAAUAAGUUCGCUUGGCUUUGGCCGGGCGAGGAAAGGAGCUACGGCUCCGCCUGGAGAUGGGCCCGCGUCCCAUUAGCUGGUUGGAGGUGUAAAGGACCACCAAGGCGAAGAUGGGUAGCCGGCCUGAGAGGGUGAACGGCCMCMCUGGGACUGAGAUACGGCCCAGACUCCUACGGGAGGCAGCAGCUAAGAAUAUUCCACAAUGGACGGAAGUCUGAUGGAGCGACGCCGCGUGGAUGAGGAAGGCCGAAAGGUUGUAAAAUUCUUUUGCGGAUGAAGAAUAACCGGGGCAGGGAAUGGCUUCGGGAUGACGUUAGUCUGCGAAUAAGCCCCGGCUAAUUACGUGCCAGCAGCCGCGGUAACACGUAAGGGGCGAGCGUUGUUCGGAAUUAUUGGGCGUAAAGGGCGCGUAGGCGGCCUAGUAAGUCUGAUGUGAAAACCCCGGGCUCAACCCGGGAACUGCAUUGGAAACUGCGCGGCUUGAGUCACGGAGGGGAAGCCGGAAUUCCUGGUGUAGGGGUGAAAUCUGUAGAUAUCAGGAAGAACACYCGAUGGCGAAGGCAGGCUUUCCAGCCGAUGACUGACGCUGAGGCGCGAAAGUGCGGGGAGCAAACAGGAUUAGAUACCCCUGGUAG